rnacentral:piRNA from 1 species
UUGGACGACACAUACUAUUUGCUUAAACAG